AAUAAAUACAAAUAAAUUUUAUUAUUUGAAGUUAAAAUGAAUUUUAAAAUAAUAUAUAAUUAAAUUUAUUAGGUUAAAUUUUAAAUUUAAAAAAUUAUUAUAAAUAAAAAUAUUUUAAGCUUAAAAAUUUUAUUAUUAAACUAGGAUUAGAUACCCUAUUAUAAAAAAUGUAAUUAUAAAAAAUAGAGUAGUAAUAGUUAUAUUCUUAAAACUUAAUAAAUUUGGCGGUAUUUUAAUCUAAUCAGAGGAACUUGUUUUAUAAUUGAUAAUCCCCGUUAAAUCUUACUUAAUUUAAUUAAUUUGUAUACCAUCGUCAUAAGAAUCUCUUAAAAAAGAAAAAAUUUUCUCAAUAAAUAAUUUUUUAAUAUGUCAGAUCAAGGUGCAGUUUAUAGUUAAGAAAAAAUGAGUUACAAUAAAAUUAUUUAUACGAAUAUUUAGUUUAAAUACUAAAUUGAAGGAGGAUUUGAUAGUAAAAUAGGUAAUUUAGCCUAUUUGAUUUUAGUUCUAAAAUAUGCACAUAUCGCCCGUCGCUCUCGUUAUUUAAAAUGAG
rnacentral:rRNA from 1 species